GUGGGGAAUCUUAGACAAUGGGGGAAACCCUGAUCUAGCCAUGCCGCGUGAGCGAUGAAGGCCUUAGGGUUGUAAAGCUCUUUCAGAUGGGAAGAUAAUGACGGUACCAUCAGAAGAAGCCCCGGCUAACUCCGUGCCAGCAGCCGCGGUAAUACGGAGGGGGCUAGCGUUGUUCGGAAUUACUGGGCGUAAAGCGCACGUAGGCGGACCAGAAAGUCAGAGGUGAAAUCCCAGGGCUCAACCUUGGAACUGCCUUUGAAACUCCUGGUCUUGAGGUCGAGAGAGGUGAGUGGAAGUCCGAGUGUAGAGGUGAAAUUCGUAGAUAUUCGGAGGAACACCAGUGGCGAAGGCGGCUCACUGGCUCGAUACUGACGCUGAGGUGCGAAAGCGUGGGGAGCAAACAGGAUUAGAAACCCUUGUAGUCC
rnacentral:rRNA from 1 species